rnacentral:misc_RNA from 1 species
UCUCCGUUGGUGAACCAGCGGAGGGAUCAUUACCGAGUUUACAACUCCCAAACCCCCUGUGAACUUAUACCAUUUACUGUUGCUUCGGCGGGUCAUGGCCCCGGGGAAGGACAGCGGUCGCCGUCAGGCCUCAGCUGCCUGCCCCCGGAAACAGGCGCCCGCCGGGGAACUCAAACUCUUCUGUAUUUCUUUAUCUAAUAUAUACUGUCUGAGUAAAAACUAAAAUGAAUCAAAACUUUCAACAACGGAUCUCUUGGUUCUG